GUGCUUGCUUCGGCAGCAUGUAUGCUAAAAUUGGAACAAUAAAGAGAAGGAAGGUCAGCAUGGCCCCCACACAAAGAUGGUGCACAAAUAUUUUCCAGCUUUAU